rnacentral:pre_miRNA from 1 species
UCUUACAGAUGAGCAAAGAAAGUGGUUUCUUAAGAUGGAAUCUACUCUUGGAAGAUGCUGUGAA